rnacentral:rRNA from 1 species
UACGUAGGGUGCAAGCGUUAUCCGGAAUUAUUGGGCGUAAAGAGCUCGUAGGCGGUUUGUCGCGUCUGCUGUGAAAACUGGAGGCUCAACCUCCAGCCUGCAGUGGGUACGGGCAAACUAGAGUGCGGUAGGGGAGAUUGGAAUUCCUGGUGUAGCGGUGAAAUGCGCAGAUAUCAGGAGGAACACCGGUGGCGAAGGCGGGUCUCUGGGCCGAUACUGACACUGAGGAGCGAAAGCGUGGGGAGCGAACAGG